rnacentral:rRNA from 1 species
AAUCAACGCUGGCGGCGUGCCUCAGACAUGCAAGUCGAACGCGAAAGGCUCCUUCGGGGGCCGAGUAGAGUGGCGUCCGGGUGAGUAACACGUGGGUAAUCUACCUUCGGGUGGGGAAUAACGACCGGAAACGGUCGCUAAUACCGCAUAAUGCAGCGGCACCUAAUGGUGACAGUUGUUAAAGCGGGGGAUCGCAAGACCUCGCGCCUGAAGAGGAGCCCGCGGCGGAUUAGCUAGUUGGCAGGGUAACGGCCUACCAAGGCGACGAUCCGUAGCC